GACGGAUGGAGCUAGCGUUGUUCGGAAUCACUGGGCAUAAAGCGCAUGUAGGCGGCAUCGCAAGUCAGGUGUGAAAUCCCCCGGCUCACCCGGGGAACUGCAUUUGAUACUGCGGAGCUUGAGUGAAGAAGGGGAGAGUGGAACAGCUGGUGGAGCGGUAAAAUGCGUAGAUAUCAGCUGGAACGCCGGUGGAGAAGUCGACUCUCUGGUCUUUUACUGACGCUGAGAUGCGAAAGCUAGGGGAGCGAACGGGAUUAGAUACCCCAGUA
rnacentral:rRNA from 1 species